UUUUAUGGAGAGUUUGAUCCUGGCUCAGGAUGAACGCUGGCGGCGUGCCUAAUACAUGCAAGUCGAGCGAACAGACGAGGAGCUUGCUCCUCUGACGUUAGCGGCGGACGGGGGAGUAACACGUGGAUAACCUACCUAUAAGACUGGGAUAACUUCGGGAAACAGGG
rnacentral:rRNA from 1 species